GCCCUGCGUAACCAAUAGAAUGUAGCAGAAUUGACACGCCUGACUUCUGAGGCUAGGUCAUAAGAUGCCGUGCAGCUUCCACCUUGGCUCUUAGAACACUGCUGUGGGAUGAGCCCACUGCCAUCAAAGAAGCUUAACUACUCUGAGCUGCCAUGAUGUGAGGGAGCCCACGCCAGCCACUUGGAAAGACCACAUGGAGAGAAAAAGAUGGCCAGCUGGUCCCUGGUUGUUCCGGUCAUCUCAGUUGAGGCAGCAGACGAGUCAGUGAAGAGGCCAUCUGGACGUCCAGCCCAGUCAAGCCUUGAGUGAAGCAGCAAAGAACCUCGUCCUCACGUCUUCCCGCACAUGUGUGCCUCUACCUGUAAGGAUCCUGGAGUCAAAAGGACGCCUGCCACAACAUGGCUUGUCAAGUGGUGCCACGUCCGUACCUGGGAUCCGAACCAGUGAACCCCAGGCCUCCAAGAAGCAGAACGUGAGAACUUAAUCGCUGUGCCACGCGGCCAGCCCCAUCUCAUUUCUUUUCAGCACUGAAUAAUAUUCCAUUGUCUGGAGGUACCACAGUUUAUUUAUUCAUUCACCUACUGAAGGACAUCUUGGUUGCUUUCAAGUUUUGGCAAUUAUAAAUAAAGCUGCUAAAACAUUCGUGUGCAG
rnacentral:lncRNA from 1 species